rnacentral:rRNA from 1 species
CGACCGGCCACACUGGGACUGAGACACGGCCCAGACUCCUACGGGAGGCAGCAGUGGGGAAUAUUGCGCAAUGGGCGAAAGCCUGACGCAGCGACGCCGCGUGCGGGAUGAAGGCCUUCGGGUUGUAAACCGCUUUCAGCAGGGACGAAGCGAAAGUGACGGUACCUGCAGAAGAAGCGCCGGCUAACUACGUGCCAGCAGCCGCGGUAACACGUAGGGCGCAAGCGUUGUCCGGAAUUAUUGGGCGUAAAGAGCUCGUAGGUGGUCCGCUGCGUCCGCUGUGAAAAUCCAGGGCUUAACCCUGGACUUGCAGUGGAUACGGGCGAACUAGAGGUAGGUAGGGGAGAAUGGAAUUCCCGGUGUAGCGGUGAAAUGCGCAGAUAUCGGGAGGAACACCGGUGGCGAAGGCGGUUCUCUGGGCCUUACCUGACACUGAGGAGCGAAAGCGUGGGGAGCGAACAGGAUUAGAUACCCUGGUAGUCCACGCCGUAAACGUUGGGCGCUAGGUGUGGGGUCCUUCCACGGAUUCCGUGCCGCAGCUANCGCAUUAAGCGCCCCGCCUGGGGAGUACGGCCGCAUGGCUAAAACU